CUGCUGCCUCCCGUAGGAGUUUGGGCCGUGUCUCAGUCCCAAUGUGGCCGUUCACCCUCUCAGGCCGGCUACUGAUCGUCGCCUUGGUGGGCCGUUACCCCGCCAACCAGCUAAUCAGACGCGGGUCCAUCUUGCACCACCGGAGUUUUUCACACCGAGCCAUGCGGCUCUGUGCGCUUAUGCGGUAUUAGCACCUAUUUCUAAGUGUUAUCCCCCGGUGCAAGGCAGGUUCCCCACGCGUUACUCACCCGUCCGCCACUUAAG
rnacentral:rRNA from 1 species